AUAAACAUAGUCAAAUAAGCUUUCUUUGCUCUAGACCCCUAUUUCCACUUAAGCUCUUACUCUAGACAUCUAUUUUGAAUCAUUGCAGUGAAGAAUAUAUGCAUGAAGAUUACUUACCUCCUUUCCUUGUUUCCUUUUGCUUACCAUGGCUAGGAUUUGUUUUCCUCAAGAGAGACCAUACAUGCACAUUAAUUUGUUAGGACUUUUUCUAGCUUUUGGAUUGACUUGCCCUUACCUUGAAGUACUUUAUUCAGACUUUUGCACUUAGAUUUUCCUUGAAAAAUUCACCAACCUUUUGACGUGAAGGUACAUAUUUGUGAUACCCACCCCCAGUUACUCAGUUGGUCACCUUUCCAAGUGGCUACUAGCUUUGUUCUUAGUCUUUUGACCAUUGGAACAGUUUUUUGAUUUUGUGCUUUUGAGGUCUUUGCCUUUGCUGAAUUUUCUCUCUCAAUGAUUUGGGCAAAUCAACACCAAUUGCUAAAUCAAGUCACAUUAAGUUCAUUCACAUAACUUUCAAUUUAUUCUCUAAUGAGGGUCAUCAAUAUAUUUUUCACCAUGGCAAACUCAAAGAUUCAAUUCAAAAGGCAAUUCUCAAGCAUGAAUACAACUCACUGCAAUUGAUUCAACAUAAGUUUAAAGAGUCAUCACAUCAAUAGGGUCAUAGAAAGAAAAACUUAUCUAACGUAGUUCAUCAGUUUGAGUGGAGCAAAACAAAAAGAAGAAGAAGGUUGUGGUUGUGUGUGUUUUAUUGAAAGCAAAAACAAACUAAAAAUGAAAAAAUUUCAAUACUGUGGCUAAUCAAACUGAAAGAAGCGCAAAGCAUUGUGAAUUUGCAAAAGAAGAAAGGAAGAAGAAGAAGAAAAGAAAAGGGGAAGAAGAAAAGAAGGGGAGAAGAAGAAAUAUGCACCCCCACACUUAAAUCAUGCAUUGUCCUCAAUGUAUAAGAAACCUAAAAGAACAAAGGAAACUGAGUACUCCCCUAGGGUGUGGUGCCUAUUGCGAUUCACUU
rnacentral:lncRNA from 1 species